rnacentral:rRNA from 1 species
GGAAUAUUGGACAAUGGGCGAAAGCCUGAUCCAGCAACGCCGCGUGAGGGAUGACGGCCUUCGGUGUGUAAACCCCUGUUGCUCGGGACGAACAAGCGAUUUUGAUCGCUCUGACGGUACCGAGUGAGGAAGCACCGGCUAACUCCGUUCCAGCAGCCGCGGUAAUACGGAGGGUGCGAGCGUUGUCCGGAAUCACUGGGCGUAAAGGGCGCGUAGGCGGUCUGCUAAGCGUGCGGUGAAAGCCUGGGGCUCAACCCCAGGUCUGCCGUGCGAACUGGUGGACUCGAGCACUGUAGAGGCAGGUGGAAUUCCGGGUGUAGCGGUGGAAUGCGUAGAGAUUCGGAAGAACACCGGUGGCGAAGGCGGCCUGCUGGGCAGUAGCUGACGCUGAGGCGCGACAGCGUGGGGAGCAAAC